GUCUACAGCCAUACCACCCUGAACGCGCCUGAUCUCGUCUGAUCUCGGAAGCUAAGCUAAGGGUCGGGCCUGGUUAGUACUUGGAUGGGAGAAUGAGCUUUUAAAUCUUAAUGGAGAGAAGGAAGGAAGGAGAGGAGG
rnacentral:rRNA from 1 species